CAUUAGCUGAUUUGUUUCUCCUGUGAGAGGUGGAGUGUAGCCUGGGCUCCAGCACUGGUAACUUUUCCUGAGCUUGAAAGUAGCCAGUCAGUUACCACAGGUUGUGCCAGGCCUUGGUGUAUUUGCCCUGGACAAAACAUAUCAAUGCCCCAGAAAUUCCCGAGGAAAUGAGCUUGACAUCCUUCCAUACUGGGAAGGAAUCAUGCAGUCACAAAUGCCACCAGGCAACUUCUGUGGUUGGACCCUCCUGUCUGUCCCAUAAAAUCUUAAGUUUCAACAGUGAUAGUGACCUUCCUUUAAAGGGCUGCAGCAGCCAUUGAAGACUUUCAAUUCACUCUGCUCAGAAAAACCAUCUGAACAGCUCUUGACUGCUGGACAGCAGCUUUGCCACACUGCAAAUGUUGUUUCUGAUUCAUCCUUUCAGAAAUACCUCAUGCACAAGUCCCAGAGCACUGAUGUUUUUCAGCUCAGAGAGGGCACAGUAAGUGUUUAUUGCACCAGCUGUAACUCUU
rnacentral:lncRNA from 1 species